UACGAAGGGGGCUAGCGUUGCUCGGAAUUACUGGGCGUAAAGGGAGCGUAGGCGGACAUUUAAGUCAGGGGUGAAAUCCCAGAGCUCAACUCUGGAACUGCCUUUGAUACUGGAUGUCUUGAGUGUGAGAGAGGUAUGUGGAACUCCGAGUGUAGAGGUGAAAUUCGUAGAUAUUCGCAAGAACACCAGUGGCGAAGGCGGCUCACUGGCCCGAUACUGACGCUGAGGUGCGAAAGCGUGGGGAGCAAACAGG
rnacentral:rRNA from 1 species